UGACACAAGACACAAUAAAUAAAACUAGGGUGCGCUAAAAGCAGAACGAAGGAAACUAGAACGACUACAACUUAUGCUACGCAGAGGGUAAAAUUCGGGAAUUCAGUAGGUCAGCCAGUGUUCAUUCCAGCUCCUGCUGAACCUAAACAUUUAGCACGGAAUGCUUCUUAUUGCCGCCGGAGGGCAGUUGCACGGCGAUCACCGCCAAGCGUCCAUCUCGAAGCGGCGCCAGAAUGUGGGUGUUGCCCGGAGUGACCACCACCGUCUGGAUGGGCACGUGCAGGGGAAUGUCGAAAACGGGCUUCAAGCUGGAAAAGAAGAAGUCUGCUCAUGGUGAUAUCGCCGGCAUCGUCGGCCACCACCAGGUAGUCGGAGGCACUAGCCAAUCCCGUCACCCUGCCAGAAACGUAUUUGGAGCCCAGACUGCAGCCGUUGAUGCUGUACACGUGCACCGAGUGCGAGGUGUCAUCCAGAGCACUGAAUGCAAUGUGACCUGUGUGUAAAGGAUACAGAAAAGAAGAGCAAUCAGAAUUGUGGUUCAAUCAUGUGAAGCAUUCUUUGAUCAUAUCAGCUCAGAUGACAGAAUGUGGGGCAGGGCGUAGUGGCGUUAAUCUACGCAGUGGAAAUGCCAUUAUGCUAUUAGACGAGGUCCGGCCCACUCUGGUCUGCUGAUAACCUGACAUCGCAUAAAAACAUUAUCACAUGGCGACAUACUACAUACUACAAGUCCGAGCAAUGCGUAGUUGCUCUUAUCUACACAAGUAUCCGUGUUAUGUGGCGGCACUUGUAUCUCUGCAUCUGUAAAUGUAUCUGUAUGCCAAUGCCACCCAGCGAAACGCGUUCAGAAGGAAGAGCCACUAAAUAGCCUAGAUUGGAUCUGAAUGAACUUCCUAAAGUGACCCGGCCACGCGCACAGAAAUAACUAGUAUAAACCGUGCCCAGUUGGUUUUGGCCAAUCUUGUACGAGUAGUUCAUUCAAC
ensembl:ncRNA asRNA:CR32252 antisense RNA:CR32252